rnacentral:tRNA from 1 species
GGCCAGGUAGCUCAGUCGGUAGAGCAGGGGACUGAAAAUCCCUGUGUCGGUGGUUCAAUUCCACCCCUGGCCACCA